rnacentral:rRNA from 1 species
CUCCGUAGGGUGAACCUGCGGAGGGAUCAUUACCGAGUUUACAACUCCCAAACCCCUGUGAACAUACCACUUGUUGCCUCGGCGGAUCAGCCCGCUCCCGGUAAAACGGGACGGCCCGCCAGAGGACCCCUAAACUCUGUUUCUAUAUGUAACUUCUGAGUAAAACCAUAAAUAAAUCAAAACUUUCAACAACGGAUCUCUUGGUUCUGGCAUCGAUGAAGAACGCAGCAAAAUGCGAUAAGUAAUGUGAAUUGCAGAAUUCAGUGAAUCAUCGAAUCUUUGAACGCACAUUGCGCCCGCCAGUAUUCUGGCGGGCAUGCCUGUUCGAGCGUCAUUUCAACCCUCAAGCACAGCUUGGUGUUGGGACUCGCGUUAAUUCGCGUUCCUCAAAUUGAUUGGCGGUCACGUCGAGCUUCCAUAGCGUAGUAGUAAAACCCUCGUUACUGGUAAUCGUCGCGGCCACGCCGUUAAACCCCAACUUCUGAAUGUGACCUCGGAUCAGUUAGGAUUACAAUUUCCUC